AGUGAACGCUGGCGGUAGGCCUAACACAUGCAAGUCGAACGGCAGCACAGUAAGAGCUUGCUCUUACGGGUGGCGAGUGGCGGACGGGUGAGGAAUACAUCGGAAUCUACUUUUUCGUGGGGGAUAACGUAGGGAAACUUACGCUAAUAACGCAUACGACCUACGGGUGAAAGCAGGGGAUCUUCGGACCUUGCGCGAUUGAAUGAGCCGAUGUCGGAUUUGCUAGUUGGAGGGGUAAAGGCCCACCAAGGCGACGAUCCGUAGCUGGUCUGAGAGGAUGAUCAGCCACACUGGAACUGAGACACGAUCCAGACUCCUACGGGAGGCAGCAGUGGGGAAUAUUAGACAAUGGACGCAAGCCUGAUCCAGCCAUACCGCGUGAGUGAAGAAGGCCUUCGGGUUGUAAAGCCCUUUUGUUGGGAAAGAAAAGCAGCAGGUUAAUACCCCGCUGUUCUGACGGUACCCAAAGAAUAAGCACCGGCUAACUUCGUG
rnacentral:rRNA from 1 species